GAAACUUGUGUCCCGAUGCAAACGAGCUCUAGAUUCUCUGGAAAGCAAAAAGGAGAGCGAGGAGAGGAAGUUUCUCCAAUUUCUUUACUUCCCACCUGCUGGUCUGUCUGAUUUCCUGUCCAGCUCUGUCUGGUAAGGAAUUGACUCUCCCCCUCCUCGCCCGCCCUCGCCCUCCUGCCUUCCUCCCUCUCCUCCCUGAGUAACGAUGCUGUCCUAGCAAGUGAUGCUGUCCCAGCAAGUGAUGCUGUCCCAGCCUCGAGGCCAGCACGGAGCAGGCAUCGCAGCCGCUGCCUCAGGGCCCGAGCUCCCUUCCCAGCGCCCGCGACCCGCGCUGCCCCAGGCUUGCUCCCCGCAGCCGCGGCCACCCCUGACCGCUUGCACGAGGGCCCCGCUGAGCGCUCCGCCCGCCUUCCCGCCGCGGGCUGCGGGGCUGCGGGGCUGCGGGAGCGUCGGCCGAGGAGCCCUGGGGCCGGCAGCCCGGAGCGCGGACCGCCGCCCGCGCGAUGUCCACCAAGGUCAGGAAGAGCAAGGAGCAGGCGAGGGUGACCUUCCCCGCGCCGGAGGAGCAGGAGGAGGAGAACAGGGAGGACGAGAGCGAGGAGCCGCAGCGCCGCCGCCAGGGCUGGAGGGGCGUCAACGGGGCGCUCGAGCCACCCCGCUCCUGCCCGCUGCCCCGCUCCGCGGGCCCAGACGAUCUUGA
rnacentral:lncRNA from 1 species